GAUGAACGCUGGCGGCGUGCCUAAUACAUGCAAGUCGAGCGAACAGACGAGGAGCUUGCUCCUCUGACGUUAGCGGCGGACGGGUGAGUAACACGUGGAUAACCUACCUAUAAGACUGGGAUCACUUCGGGAAACCGGAGCUAAUACCGGAUAAUAUAUUGAACCGCAUGGUUCAAUAGUGAAAGACGGUUUUGCUGUCACUUAUAGAUGGUUCCGCGCCGCAUUAGCUAGUUGGUAAGGUAACGGCUUACCAAGGCAACGAUGCGUAGCCGACCUGAGAGGGUGAUCGGCCACACUGGAACUGAGACACGGUCCAGACUCCUACGGGAGGCAGCAGUAGGGAAUCUUCCGCAAUGGGCGAAAGCCUGACGGAGCAACGCCGCGUGAGUGAUGAAGGUCUUCGGAUCGUAAAGCUCUGUUAUUAGGGAAGAACAAAUGUGUAAGUAACUAUGCACGUCUUGACGGUACCUAAUCAGAAAGCCACGGCUAACUACGUG
rnacentral:rRNA from 1 species